rnacentral:rRNA from 1 species
AGUGAACGCUGGCGGCAGGCCUAACACAUGCAAGUCGAACGGCAGCACAGCAGUAGCAAUACUGUGGGUGGCGAGUGGCGGAUGGGUGAGGAAUACAUCGGAAUCUACCUUGUCGUGGGGGAUAACGUAGGGAAACUUACGCUAAUACCGCAUACGAACUAUGGUUGAAAGCGGCGGACCGCAAGGCGUCGCGCGAUUGGAUGAGCCGAUGUCCGAUUAGCUAGUUGGCGGGUAAAGGCCCACCAAGGCGACGAUCGGUAGCUGGUCUGAGAGGAUGAUCAGCCACACUGGAACUGAGACACGGUCCAGACUCCUACGGGAGGCAGCAGUGGGGAAUAUUGGACAAUGGGCGCAAGCCUGAUCCAGCCAUGCCGCGUGUGUGAAGAAGGCCUCGGUUGUAAG